rnacentral:lncRNA from 1 species
GUGAGUAUUUCCUGGACCUAGCACAGCACUUGGCAGAUAGCAGGUACUCCAUAAAUGUUGAAUAUUUCAAAAUACAAAUAACUAAAAUUAAUAAACAUAUAAUUUAUCAGCUGAGUAUUCAUCUGUUCAAUCUUGAACUGCUUUUAUUAAUAAGGAUUUUUUGUUGUAACAGAAAUACAACUCAAAGUCUCUUAAGGAAAAAUAGGAAUUUAUCAGUUCAAAUAACUGAGAGUUUGAGGAGUGGUGCUAACUAUGGGCAUAUUGGAUCCAGGUCUCAGAUGAUGCCAUUAGAAAUCUCUCUCCAAGUCUAUUUUUCUUUUCCUCUGGGGUGUUUUAUCAAGCAAGCUCUCUUCAUGUGAUUGGAAAAGAUGGUCCUUGUAGCUCUCGGCUUACAUAGUCCAAUACAGAUCACAAUUUCAGAAGGACACUGAGUGUCUUCCUGAGUCCACCCAAAAUGGCUUGCUUGGCUCUAGUUGGGUUCCACACUCACCCUUGGACCAAUCUCUGUGCCCAGAGUAAUGGGGCAUUCUGAUUGGUCAGUUUAGGUCACAUGCAAGCACCUGUGGAAGGUAGGGCUCCUUAAUUGGAAACUUCCUGGGGAGCAGUUCCUGGGGUAGUUUGCAAAAGGAAGUGAUAUAAGAAGUCAAAAAUAUAAUAGGUAUCUAUACACUACUGUUAAUUUUUCAGUUUGAUCAACCAAUAUGUGUUUUUAAAAGUCUGCCAUGUGUCCAGGCCAAUUUAACUACUUUAUGCACCUUUUCUAGGCCCACUGAGAUGCACCAAGACUGACAGAAAAGAAAUGUCUUGAGGAUGCUCAGUUUUCAGGGAUUUUAGUUUGAAAACCCAAGUGGCACCUGGAGUUCAUUCAUGUCCUCUUGUGGAUAGAGGCCUAGUGGUGGGUCUGCUGGGGGUGAGUUUCAGCAUGGCACAAUCCCAAUACCUGGUGACUGAGACCCAGAAAGACAGCUUUGUGAACAUAAAUCAGAGAAAGCUGUUUCACUAUGAGAUGCAUAAGGAAGGAAUGUGUACUUUCUCCAGACUGUCGAGGUUUGUGUUCCAGUAAUGCCAGUGGAAAUCUGUGUGACCUGUGGAUGUUCAUAGCAGCAUUAUUGAUAAUAGCCCAAACUGAAAACAACCUAAAUGUCCAUCAACUGGUGAAUAGAUAGACAAAAUUAAUAGAAUGCCAUUGAAUACUAUUCCGCAAUAAAAAGGAAGACACAACUGACACCUGCUAGCUGCCUCCUGAUGAACCUCAAAAACAGUAUGCUAAGUGAAAGAAGUCACUUCACAGAAAACCACACAUUGUAUGAUUCCAUUUAUGUGAAAUGUCCAGAAAAGGUAAAUUUAUACAGAAAGAAAGUAGAUUAGUGGUUGCUUGCGACCAGCGGUGGGAUGGAUUAACUGUGAAUGGGCAUGAGGAAUCUUUUUGAGAUAAGAUGUUCUUAAACUAAUUUAUGG